UACGUAGGGGGCUAGCGUUGUCCGGAAUCAUUGGGCGUAAAGCGCGUGUAGGCGGCCCGGUAAGUCCGCUGUGAAAGUCGGGGGCUCAACCCUCGGAUGCCGGUGGAUACUGUCGGGCUAGAGUGCGGAAGAGGCGAGUGGAAUUCCUGGUGUAGCGGUGAAAUGCGCAGAUAUCAGGAGGAACACCUAUUGCGAAGGCAGCUCGCUGGGACGUAACUGACGCUGAGGAGCGAAAGCGUGGGUAGCAAACAGG
rnacentral:rRNA from 1 species